CUGUUGUGGUAUGGGAACCCCAAAUCCAGGUGACUGGUUGCCAUUUGGCUGCAUGGCAUUCUUUGAAGAAACAGUGUCUCCCUGCUCUUGCCCCUUCUGCCUGCCCUGCAUCUGCCCUGGCAUGACCCAUCCAUCAGUGCUCCUCCUCGAAUCAAACCCUCCAUCACAGCUGUGGACCAGAUGGCACCAAUCCUCCUGGCACAGCCCCAGAACUUGCCAGAGAGGCAGAAACCCAGGUUUGCUGGUGCCCCAUGCUGGGAGCUCAGCAUCCUUGGUCCCUCAGGUGUGCCUGUCACUGCCAUGUCUGACACCAAUGCCUGACUCGGAGGAAGAUGCCAUCAUCCUGCUGCCAGCUCCACCACCUGCUGCAGUAGCACGUGGCUUUCCCUUGAAGGCACUCAUGCCAAGCCUCAGUCAAGCUCAAGCCCCUGCUAGCUCUCUUCCCAAGCUGUCCAUGCCAUGUCUGUCCUUGGCCCAGUGGACAGCAGCAGGUUGCUUGCCUAUCCCUCUGUGAGAAGCCAUGGAGCAGAGAUGCAGGGCUCCACGUGGAGGCCACUUCAACCCAUCCAUCCCUGCAGCCAAACAGCCACCUCCCAGUUAACAAGGAGCCCAGGG
rnacentral:lncRNA from 1 species